GGAGUUAGCCGGUGCUUCUUCUGUGAGUGAUGUCCUUCCUGCCGGCUAUUAACCCGCAGGCCUUCUUCCUCACUGAAAGUGCUUUACAACCCGAAGGCCUUCUUCACACACGCGGCAUGGCUGGAUCAGGGUUGCCCCCAUUGUCCAAUAUUCCCCACUGCUGCCUCCCGUAGGAGUCUGGGCCGUGUCUCAGUCCCAGUGUGGCUGAUCAUCCUCUCAGACCAGCUACGGAUCGUCGCCUUGGUGAGCCGUUACCUCACCAACCAGCUAAUCCGACAUAGGCUCAUCCGAUAGCGCGAGGCCCGAAGGUCCCCCGCUUUCCCCCGUAGGGCGUAUGCGGUAUUAGCCUGGGUUUCCCCAGGUUAUCCCCCACUACCGGGCAGAUUCCUAUGCAUUACUCACCCGUCCGCCGCUCGCCACCAGGGAGCAAGCUCCCCGUGCUGCCGCUCGACUUGCAUGUGUUAGGCCUGCCGCCAGCGUUCAAUCUGAGCCAGAAUCAAACUCUG
rnacentral:rRNA from 1 species